AUUGAACGCUGGCGGCAUGCCUUACACAUGCAAGUCGAACGGCAGCACGGGAGCAAUCCUGGUGGCGAGUGGCGAACGGGUGAGUAGUACAUCGGAACGUGCCUAGUAGUGGGGGAUAGCCCGGCGAAAGCCGGAUUAAUACCGCAUACGACCUGAGGGUGAAAGCGGGGGAUCGCAAGACCUCGCGCUAUCAGAGCGGCCGAUGCCAGAUUAGGUAGUUGGUGGGGUAAAAGCCUACCAAGCCGACGAUCUGUAGCUGGUCUGAGAGGACGACCAGCCACACUGGGACUGAGACACGGCCCAGACUCCUACAGGAGGCAGCAGUGGGGAAUUUUGGACAAUGGGCGCAAGCCUGAUCCAGCCAUGCCGCGUGCAGGAAGAAGGCCUUCGGGUUGUAAACUGCUUUUGUCAGGGAAGAAAAGUUCUGGGCUAAUACCCCGGAGCGAUGACGGUACCUGAAGAAUAAGCACCGGCUAACUACGUGCCAGCAGCCGCAGUAA
rnacentral:rRNA from 1 species